UAUCAAUCAUUAAAGCUUUAGUUCCUUAUAUCUGGCUUAUGCUUGCAUAAUUUUUUGUGGGGUUCUCUUUAAUGUGGAUACUGUUUUGUUUGUAUAAUUAUAACAACUCAAGCAAGUUCCAAGUUGUACGUCGCCUUUCUUAGCUGUUAAUAUAUAUAUAUGAAAAUGUGAUUUAUGUAUGUAUGACAUAUUGAUUCAUGGUGAUACCAUAAACUGAUUGCUUUGUCAUGUUUAAAUCUCAUAUGAUGUUGAUGAGAUUGUAAUUUUAUAGAUUGAAAGAUGUUAGAUGUCACCCUGAGCUUUAGAAAGAGGUUGGAUCCAAUAUUGUAAGGCACCACUCAUAUUCAUCCAAGAUUGCUUUAGAGGAAUACAUUGUUGAAGCACGCAUGAUUAUCAACAUUUAUUAUAUAUCACUUGAGCAUUUUGGCUGACCUUUCAAUUUCUUCGAUCCCAAUAUUUAUGAUCAGUAAUUAUCAGGAGUUCAAGAAUUAGAAUAGGUCAACAGGUUGUAUCAUUGCUUUCGGAUUGGUAAUAUUUGAGGAGUUCCAUCAGUGAUUUCAAACUUUAGUAACUCAUAAUCUUGAAAGCUUAGAGGCAGCAAACUGAGCCUAACAGUUAAUGAUCUAUUUUAGAGUUCCUCAAAUUGCAUCAUUUAAAUAUGGAUUCAGAAACAUUGUGUGCAGGAAAUAAUUAGCCUAUCUUUCAUCUAUAUAUUUAUAUCCUUUCAGGUUCUUCAGCAUUGAGGCUAAUUAUGAAUAUUGAAUGAUGAAAGCUUCUUUACUUUGUUCAGAACUUAAUAAUUUGAUUAUUUCAUCAUCGUUGUGCAUCUGUUUAUUUAGCAUCAGAAAUUUAACUGAAGUACUCCAACUGAAGUACUCUACUGUUGACUAGAAGAAAUGAUUCUGCUCUUCUUAAUGUUCCUCCAAGUGUACUUACUUUGACUAGUAGCAGUGAUCCUUGCUACAGCGAUGCUUAUCAUUUGACAGAUUCUAAUGACGGAAGGAUCCCUCUGCACCUUAAGGAUACCUCCAGCUAAUAAUGAAAAGCUCUAGACUCAAAGGGAAGGUCAGAGAAGAGUGUUGUUAACAAAUGACCUAGACGAACAAUUACAGGCUAUGUUGCAUAUAUUUAUGAUAAAUAACUAGAAGAUUUGCCUUAAGAUCUUUUAUAAGAACUGUUUCAGGUAUUAAAUAUGACAGAAAUUGAACUAAUUAGCCGUGUGGAUAUCAAAGUAGGUUUAUCUGGUCCGCUGGUUUACAUGGAUGGAUAGCUUCAAGCAGUUCGCCAGCUGCGGAGUCUUGCUUCACAGCCUUCCAUCAUCACAACCAAUCGACUUAAUGAAACAGAUCACUACAAGAAAAACACAGGUUUGAAUAUCCAGCCGAAAGGGUCGAAGAAAUUAUUAAAAUUAGAGUAUGAAAAAAGAAAUGGAAGAGGACGACUAAGGAUGUGGUAGCUGAGUGUUUUGCGUGGGAUAGAGGAAGAAGAAUUUGACAGGAAAAAAGAUGAUAAGGUAAGGCAGUCCGGGCCUCCGGGGUGCAACUAUAUGGUGGCCAAAAGUAGAUAAUAGCAAUAGCAAGAGCUUUAAUCAGGGACCCAAAGAUCCUUUUGCUUGAUGAGGCUAUAUGUGCAUUAGAUGCACAAUCUGAAAAGAUGGUGCAAGAAACUCUGGAUCAGGCUUCAGUUGGAAGAAGAACGAUAGUCAUUGCUCACCGGCUUGCUGUGUCCAUAGAGCUGGUAACAUAGCAAUUCUUCAGUCUGGAAGGCCUACCGGAGAAUGGUUCAAAUGCAAAAAACAAACCAGGAUGACAAAUCUAGCACUUACUACAACUCAGAAGGAGCUACAAACAUUCUAAAAAAAGAAACAUGAAAUUAUCAAAGGUUGCAAGGAACAAGUAGUCACCAAAGAUUUGUCUCAAUUCGAGAUUGUAUUUUUAACCGUUAACAUGAUCCUGUUUAAAUUAUAAGUAUGAUUUAUUAUAUUUAUAUAAUGAAAUUAUUAUUACGAAA